rnacentral:lncRNA from 1 species
AUUCCUUGUAUGGGCGGGGAAUUUGUACUUGGUUUUAGAAUCACUUAGCUUCCUGGUCGAUAUAGUGGUUAGGUUGACCAAUUCUUUUUAUGGGCGGGGAAUUGUCCGCUUAGCUUCCUAUAUUGAUUAGUGGCCGAGUUUGGUUUGACAACCACUUAGCUUCUUACAUUGAUAAUCAUUGGAACCUAAUGUCGCGCUAUUUGAUAUAUGCAUGUUGAGAAGGUGAUUCUUUUCUUAUGUGUAUAACGAAUAGGUAAAGAAUAUAA